CGUAGGGCGCGAGCGUUGUCCGGAAUUAUUGGGCGUAAAAGAGCUCGUAGGCGGCUUGUCGCGUCGGUUGUGAAAGCCCGGGGCUUAACCCCGGGUCUGCAGUCGAUACGGGCAGGCUAGAGUUCGGUAGGGGGAGAUCGGAAUUCCUGGUGUAGCGGUGAAAUGCGCAAGAUAUCAGGAGGAACACCGGUGGCGAAGGCGGAUCUCUGGGCCGAUACUGACGCUGAGGAGCGAAAGCGUGGGGAGGCGAACAGGAUU
rnacentral:rRNA from 1 species